ensembl:lncRNA
GUUAUAAAAAUAUACCCCAUCACCACCAAAGACACUCAUGUGUAAGAGUGCCUUUCCCUUCUGUCACCAAACCCAGGUCACCAUCACCCUUCACACCAUCAUACCCCCUAUUCCCGUCUGCCAGUUUCCAACAUGCGUGUCACAGAUGGAAAGGCAUCUAUCGGGUUCCUGCAGCCAGGUGAGCCUGCCUGGACGGGAAGGACAGCCUUGCUCACAGCCAAAGGCUGGAUGCCGCUGUGCAAGCCCCAGAGAGUUGGCCUCAUGGUAGAGUUCCCUGAGCCCCUGACAUUUGGGACGUGGGCCCUGAGGAGUCCCCCAGACCAGUCCCGCUUGGCAGAAAGGUGAGGCUUUGAGCCAAAAACAUACCCUCCCCCAGCCCUGCUCGCCCAGGGACAGAACCCCCUGCCUCUACUCAUCCCUCCUCAACAAAAAUGGAUUUACGUAUUCAGCUCUCAGGUCACGCAGUUCGGGGUCCCCUCCAUUCCUGAGGUCUCCAGUGGAUGCUAAAUCAACCCCAGUUCCCGUCACAUGACCUCCUCAGGCCCCCUAACCUCCCCAGAAAAGACGCCCAACAGGUGUCUGGAACCACGACACCACAUCCAACUGACCCUCCCCAUCACACUGAUUGGACCCUGCAGAAGCCCCCUGAAGAGUCCUGUCCUGCCUGUCACCUUAGGAAGAAAACCAGACGGUCCCCAAAGGGCCAGGUGAGCCUGUGGAGCCACGGGACAGCUCUGUGCCCUCUCACCGUGGCAGGAGCUGCCACCUACCUUUCUCUCUGUUCUCUUCACCAGCCCGGCCCUAUGGCCUUGGAGGAACACGGGAAAAUCCCUGGUUCCCAUGAGACGAAGAGGGAUCUACCUCAGGGCAGGAUCUCUCGGCCAAAGGGGGAAUCUUUAAUCAGAAAGAGGCUCCUGAAUACACCCCUUUUGGCUCAGCUUCCUGGGGACAGUCUUUUUACAAACCUACGCAUCUGGGCUUGGAGAAGAGGCCACACCGUAUCUGUUGGGCUGCAACCUGACCUGAGGGACCCCACAUCGGAGCAGCUGGCACCAGAAAAAGAGCUUUCCUUGCAUUCUGAUGGAAGCUGCUGGGGGAGGACAAUCUCUCCCUUCUCCUAGAUCUGGGUGGAGAAAGGGGGCCGGCUGCACCUCAAAAAGCUCACACAUCAGCCCCGUCUUCCCACCCCAGCCUCAGCAGG